rnacentral:rRNA from 1 species
AUUGAACGCUGGCGGCAGGCCUAACACAUGCAAGUCGAGCGGAGCGGCGGACGGGUGAGUAAUGCCUAGGAAUCUGCCUGGUAGUGGGGGAUAACGUCCGGAAACGGGCGCUAAUACCGCAUACUAUCAGAUGAGCCUAGGUCGGAUUAGCUAGUUGGUGGGGAAAAGGCCUACCAAGGCUACGAUCCGUAACUGGGCUGAGAGGAUGAUCAGUCACACUGGAACUGAGACACGGUCCAGACUCCUACGUGAGGGAGCAGUGGGGAAUAUUGGCUGAUGGGCGAAAGCCUGAGCCAGCCAUGCCGCGUGUGGGGAGAAGGUCUUCGGAGUGUAAAGCACUUUAAGUUGGGAGGCGUUACCAACAGAAUAAGCACCGGCUAACUUCGUGCCAGCAGCCGCGGUAAGUC